rnacentral:tmRNA from 1 species
AAAAGUAAAUGCGAAUAACAUCGUUAAAUUUGCUCGUAAGGACGCUCUAGUAGCUGCCUAAAUAGCCUCUUUCAGGUUCGAGCGUCUUCGGUUUGACUCCGUUAAGGACUGAAGACCAACCCCCAACGGAUGCUCUAGCAAGUGUUCUCUGGUUGGCUUGCUAGCUAAGAUUUAAUCAGAGCAUCCUACGUUCGGGAUAAUGAACGAUUCCCGCCUUGAGGGUCAGAAAGGCUAAACCUGUGAAUGAGCGGGGGG